AACCCGAGAAAAACCAAAGGAAAAAAGACACGCAACCUCGACCCUCAUUUUGCUCAAUUUCAACAUACAAACCGAGCUUCUGAAGGGAAGUGAAGUGGCAGAAAUUAUAAAAAUGCUCUGACUCCUCAAUCAUGGAAAACUUAAGGUAGAGCUCCCUAAGAAAAACGUAAACUUAUUUUUCUUGGCGCAAAAGUUAACUAAAAGCUAAGCCCAGGCAUCUGACCAAGGGGAGAGGCUGUGAACACCUGCCACACCGGAAGAAAAGGCGGGACGGAUCUCGGACCUGGGUAGUAAGUCAGCUGCGUCGAGGGCAACCCCAGGGCAGGCCGAGGGGUUUCUGAGGUUAUGGCCAAGAGAGAAGGGAAGGCCGCAGGGCUGACUGACAGCAGCGAGGAGACAGGGAAGGCUCCAGGUGUGUACUCACCCCGGGCUUCGAGGGGCGCGUGGGGUCUCUGCUGCCCUUCAGCUCCGGACCCGACGACCCGGGCGGUGGCGGUCUCUCCGUGCUGAGGGGCCGGCUUCCCAGCCAGCGGCUAGCGAGCCCCGAGGGCCGCCAUGUCUCCACUGGCCGAGCGCAGAGUCGCGCCAGCAGGACCCUCGCAGUGCCCUCCCCCGGGCUGUAAACCCCGAGUCCGUGAGGAAAGAGACACCCAAGUUUGCAGCCCGGAGGCCGCAAUACCCCACCGCGCGCGAGCAGCAGCCCCGCCAUGAGCUCGAGAGACCGCGCCUCCUUUGACCCGCCCUCGACUUCCGGCGCCGUUUCCGCUUCCUCCGGAAGUGAGGGAGAGCCGCUCUUUCCGCUCCGCUCGAUGGUGACGCGUUCAACUAACCCGAAGUCAAGGAGCCCUUCGCCGAGAAGCCGGCGUGCGAAAGUAAAGCUAUUUGGAGGUUAUGGAUGAUAAGCCCGAACCUGGACCCCUAAGUGAGAGUUCAGAACUUCUCUUCUCCUUUGGAGUUAUAGCCGAUAUUCAAUAUGCUGAUUUAGAAGAUGGCUAUAAUUUCCAAGGAAACAGACGGAGAUACUACAGACACAGUCUUCUUCACUUACAGGGGGCUAUUGAACACUGGAAUAAAGAAAGCAGCACACCCUGUUGUGUCCUUCAGCUUGGAGACGUCAUUGACGGAUAUAAUGCGCAGUACCGAGCGUCGGAAAAGGCGCUAGAACGUGUCAUGACCACGUUCCAAACGCUGAAAGUCCCAGUUCACCACACAUGGGGGAAUCAUGAGUUCUACAACUUCAGCAGAGACUACUUAACACACUCCAAACUGAACAGCAAGUUCCUGCAAGACCAGAUAGCUCAUCAUCCUGAGACCGUGCCUUCAGAGAAUUAUUACGCUUACCAUUUUGUACCAUUCCCCAAAUUCCGGUUCAUUUUACUCGAUGCUUAUGACAUGAGUGUCCUGGGCGUGGAUCAGUCUUCUCCAAAAUACCAGCAGUGUCUGAAGAUGCUGAAGGAGCACAACCCAAAUGCGGAAUUGAAUAGUCCUCAAGGUGAAUUAUUCCUUUGAGCUGAGAGUCUAAUGCAUUGUCUUUAAAUUCUCCAGCUACCUUUUAUUCAGCAGGAAGAUGGACGAUGAAGGACUUUCUGAGCCCCAGUUUGUCCAGUUUAAUGGAGGAUUCAGCCAAGAACAGCUGAACUGGUUGAAUGAAGUUCUUACAUUCUCUGACAAAAACCAAGAAAAGGUGGUGAUUGUGAGCCAUCUUCCCAUUUUCCCCGAGGCCUUGAACAGUGUGUGCCUGGCCUGGAAUUACAGAGACGCCCUGGCCGUCAUUUGGUCUCACAAGUGUGUGGUGUGUUUCUUCGCCGGCCACACUCAUGAUGGUGGCUACUCUGAGGAUCCGUUUGGUGUUCACCACGUCAACCUGGAAGGGGUUAUCGAAACGGCUCCCAGCAGCCAGGCUUUUGGCACAGUCCAUGUCUAUCCUGACAGAAUGGUGCUGAGAGGGGAGGGCAGAGUCCCGGACAGAAUUAUGAAUUACAAGAAGGAAAAUGCCUUCCCUCGUUAGUCCGAUUGUGUUUUGUUUACUUUUAUAGAAAGGUAGUGCCGUAGCUUUGUGGUUUUGUUAUGCCCCCGCCCCCCGAUACUCAGUCUCAUUGUUUAGUAUCCUGUUUGCAACAAAUAGCAGUAACCGGCUUCAGUGUGUGUUAGCUCAGAAGAUACUCUGAAAUGUCAUUUUUGGAUAAUAUAUCCCGUGCUGAAAUUGGAAAGAAAAUGAAUGAAAGUAGCAAACUGAGGUGGGAGAUAAUAGUCCCUUGAAACAGACUCUAUUUGGCCUUACCUAAGACUUUUUUUUUUCUUUUCUUUUCUUUUUUUUUUUUUACUUUUUAUAAGAAGAAUGUAUUCAUUCACUACAUUAGCUAUGUAACAUAAAAUUUAUAAUAAAAAAUCCAUAAAAUAAGCUCAGGUAAACUGUUUCUGUUUACCCAGCUGUGUGAAUGAGCUUUGGACAUUUUUUGCUCAGAGCACCCAUCGUAUUUUUAUUUUUACAAAUUUAAAUUCUUGUUUUGUAAAAAAAAAAAAAAAAAAAAAAUCACUAGUUACUUCACAUGUGAAUGAAUGGCGCCCGCAUUCACACAGGUGAACGUGUGGUCUCCCAUGCUGACCUCUUAGCAUUCCAGCCAAAGCAGGACCCAGUGCCGCUGCAGCUGUAUGCCGGCCAGCUUCCCGUCUGGGCCCCCAGCGGGUGCUGUGUGCCCUGGACUAGGUGAACAAGUUUAGCCUUGACCCCCUUUAUAGACAAAUGGAACAUGUCUUGUUGAGUUGUCAUAUAUUUGAAGGCUUAUUUGCAGAAACACCCGAUGGCAAAUGGGGACUGUUUAGGUGGUUAAAAAAAAAAAAAAGAAAAAAAAGAAAAGAAAGAAAAAAGUGUGAUUCAGGGCCUAAAAAUCAGGAAGACAAAAAACCAAUACUAGUUGACAUAAGUGUGCCUGCUGAGUGCCGAGGCACUUUGGGGGUAAGAGGUUUGUUAGUUUCCACUGGCUGCUGUAACAUAUUACCACACCUUGGUGGCUUAAAGGACGUAUGUGUGUUCUCCUGCAGUUUUGGAGCGCAGAAGUCUGCGGUCGUUUGCGCCGGGCUGAGAUCAGGUGUUGUGGGGCCAUGCCUUCUCAGCAGGCGCCAGGGGAGACUGUCUCUUUGUCUCUUCCAGCUUCUAGAGCUGCAUCUCUUGUACUCCUUGGCUCAUGCGCCUUCCUCCAUCUGCACAGCCAGCAAGGGAGCAUUGUCUAAUCUCUUGCUGCUUCGCUGCCACAUCCCUUUCUCUUCUUCUGUCUAGGAAGCCGUAUUUCCCUGCCUUCCUGUUAAUACGUGUGAUUACACGGAGGGCCCAUCCAGAUAAGCCAGGAUCAUCUCCCCAUCUCAAGAUCCUUCAGCACAUGUGGGCAGUCCGUUUUGUGCUGUGAGGUCACAGUCAUAGGCUCCAGGGAGUAGGAUUGGGCAUCUACUGCAGAGAUGACUGUAAUCCCCUCCCUGUGUUCACUGCCUUUCCAUGAGUUAAGAGAGAUCCACAACCCUGGACACAAAUGUGGGAAGAGAGAACUGUGGGAACAUGGAGGCGGAAUCUGGUUUUGUUUGGAGGGGAGAGGGAUGCCCUGAAGAAGGAAGCAAAGUGGUCUAAAGAGGCGUGGAGGUGCGUUUCAAGUAGACAGAAUAGCAAAGCACCAUGGGAUAUGCUGCGUUUGGGAGUUACCAGCAUUGCUAUGAGGAUUCACCAAAGUGGUGCUGGUGGUGGCAAGAAAUAAAGCAGGAAAAGGACAGGCUAGGGCUACGUGGUGCAGAGUCCUGAAGGACGAGCCCAGAGUUAGAGCAUAACUUGUCAGGCAGUGAGGAACCCUUGGUUUCUGAGCCAGGGAGUAUGUGAUGAAAUUAUGUGUCGUGCAGGCAGUGGAUACUGAGAGGCUGAGGCAGGAGAGUGACUGGGAAGAGAAAAGAUUGUAGGGGUGGGAAGACAGGGUUUGACUCAAGAUAGAACCAUUAAACUUAGGAAUAAUACUUACAUUCAACUGAAAAGUAAAGUUUAAAAGCAAUUUCAGUAAUACUCUCUUCAAGUUAGUGCCUUCUGUGUGGUUAUGGAGAUACAAAAGGAACUGUAUCGUCGGAGAAUUCGUAGAGUGAUGUGGGAGAUGCAGACAUGAUGAAAGUUUAUCUUGAACAUUAUUUUUUAUUUUUAAUUAGAACAUUAGAGGCUUUUAAGCACAGAGUCAAACAUUAAUUGGAGAAUGGGUAGGCCCUUCUGCAGAAUUUGCAAGUAAGUCUGUUUCUUUAUGUCUGACUGAUAGUUACACCAAAGGAGGAAUGAAAACCAUAAACGUGCAAGGUUGAUAUACACCAGAACACUGAAAUCCUUUAUAUGUACUUCAUUGACCCCUAAAAUACAUUUCACUUUAACAUCAACUGGAUUUUUUUUCCCUUUACCCUCAUCGAAAUCUUGAUAGAGAAUUUCUGAUUCUUCCGUGGCUACUGUUUAAAACAAAGAACAUGCAUACCUCGUUUAACAAAUAUUUAUAGACUAUUUAAUGUCGUAUUAAAGGCAAUAAAAAAUGAAGAGACAAGCUCCCAGACUGAUUUUCACUUUCUUGAUAUAUGUUUGGCACUAAUACUUUUUUGAGUCAAAUAUUUCCUAAAUCUCAUGAAAUGGUAUCGACUGUGGAGUUGGAUGCUGGCAUGUGUAAAAGAGUUGCCAUCCAUAUGCUCUAAAACAGCACCGCACAACAGGGCUAUAACUUGAGCCAUGUUAGUAAUUUGAAAUAUUUUAGCAGUCGCAUUUAGAAAAGUAAAUAGAAGCUGUAAAAUUCAUUUUAAUAAUAUAUUUUAUGUACCCCAAUACAUCUAACAUUAUUUCUACAUGUAAUCAAUACAAAAAUUGUUUACCUUCUUUUUAUACCAAGUCUUCAAAAUCUGGUGUGUAUUUUAAACUUAUCAUCCAUUUACUUGGUCACUAGAUUUUCAUUGGCAACACUUGGUCUGUGUUCAGAUAUAAAAUUUGCAGUUGAAGUGGAUGCACACAGGCAAGUUGUUCCAAACAGACUUCUAACAAGUGUUCCAAACACACACGUUUUCUGGUUCACUCCACAGUGUAGCCACGAAGAUGGUCGUCUUGCCAGAGUAAUUUCUGGCUUUCAUUAAAAAAAUAGGCGUAUAGAUUUUAGUCUUAUUUUUCAUUUAUCAUGUACUUCAUAUUCCCUAUUUCUUUCUUUCUUAGUCCCAGAUUCCUUUUUUCUGGCUAACUUGGGUUUCUUUCCAAGACAUGCUUGUUCACUUGGUUCGCCUGGAGUCCUCAUUUAAUUCACGGCACUGUACCAGUGCCCUAUAAUGUACAGUCCUCUUUUGAACGCCUGUUUGUAUCCUUCUAUACCCCUGCUUCCCUCUGGGUUAUUCCGUGCAGCACCUCGUAUUUUCAGAGUGCUCUCAUCUAGUUUCAUCCUUGCAGCUGUAGAAGUCGGAGGUCUGGUAUUAAUCCUGUUUUAUAAGGAAUUACCCACAAGAGGUUUAUGUAUUUGCCAGAGUCACAUGGACAGUGAUAAAGCUAAGUCAGCAUUCUGUUUCUUAACAUUUGUUCUGCCUUUUCUACUACACUAUGACACCCCAGAAUGUCAGACACAUGUCUCUUCCUAGACCCAUCCAGUCCUGUGUUGUAGGCAGCCUUAAAAAGUUCUUAGGAUUUUUCUUUUUCAAUCAUCUCUAGUAUUAAUUGAAAUCACCUCAAAUAAACCCCUAAGAAACUGGCUUAUUACAACCGUGUUUAUAAGAAAAUUGCAAACCCUCAUUUUAAGAACAGGAUUCUUCGUGUCAUUUAAAUGACUGUCUUGCAGUGAGCUGGCCAGGAGGACCGCAUCUCCUUGUUGACGUAUAUGUAGACCCAUGAGAUAAAUGGGAAAAGAGCAACUGCGAUAGCAAUGGCCAAGCGAAUUCUUCCACCAGCUGGAUUCCUGUCAAGACAUGCAAACGUUAUGAAUAAAAAUCCAAUGAAAUUAUGAAUUUCCUUGGUAACAAAUAAGAUCGAAUUUGGUAAAAUAGAUCAUUCCAUUUUUGUACAAUCUUUUUUCUUUUUCUUUUUAAAAUUGAAAUAUUCUUUCUUGUAGUUCUCUCUAUGUUCUUACUGCAAAUUCUUGGCUUUUUAAUGUGUGUUGCACGUGGCUUUUCCUGCUUUACUUAAUGAUGUCUUUGCAGGAACUGAAGUCAUUGAUUAAGCCAUAUUAAGAUGGACCUUCUCCUAAAGAUCUUUGUGUCCUUUUAAAGAAAACUUUUCCUCUUCAAGGUUUUCAAAAUACUAAGUUUUCUUCCCUAAAAGUUUUACUGUUUUGCUUUUCACAUUAGAUCUGUAAUCCCCCUACAGUUGAUUUCUGUGAAAGUUGUAAGGUAUAUGGGUUGUUGCACUUUUCUCCAUGUGGGUAUUCCAUCGAUCUAGUGCUGUUUAUUGAAAAGGCUGCCUUGCUUUGCCACCCUGGAGUGCUCCGUUGUCCUGAGUCAAGGGUCUGCAAUAUAAAUACGGAUCUGUUUCUAGAUUCUUUUUCGUUUCGUUUGUUUAUCCUUUGCCAAUAUGGAUUUAUCUUACACUACCAUAGGAUAAUUAUUUAGGUGUCUUUAUUUUAAUACUUAGGUCUUCUUUAAUUUCUCCCAUGUUUUAUUUUUAUCAUUUUGCAUGUAGAGAUUUUGCAUAUCUCUGUUAGAUUUAUUCCUGGGGAGUUGGUUUUUUGAUGUUAUAAAUAGUAACUUUUUUUUUUAUCAUUUUCUGUUACUUGCUGAGAAAAAUACAGCUCAUUUCAGUAUAUUGACCUAGUAUCCAGCAAUUAUGCUAAAAUCACUGAUUUGAAUCACUUUUUAAAUUCUUUUUUUAUGUUCUACAUAUGCAAUUACAUCAUCCAGGAAUAAGGAAAAUUCAAGUUUUCCUUUCCAAUCCCUGAGCCUUUUAUUUCUGUUUCUUGCCCUAGUAUUAGCUGGGACAAGAGCUAGAACAGUGUUGAGUAGCCGUGGCACCAGAGGCCAUGUCUCCUUUCUGAUCUGAAGGGGAAGCUUUCAGCUCACCCCUGAGUGCUUUGGUGCACACACCCUCCCUUUAUCAGAGUGAGUUCCUUUCUAGAUCUGUUUUCUGUGAGCUUUUAUCCUGAAUGGAUGUUGAAUUUUAUCAACAUAGAUUGAGAAAACAGGUUAUUUCUUCUUUUAUUCUGUUAUUGUGGUGAAAAACAUUAGUUGGUUUUCGUAUGUUUAACUGUUUUCCUAGAAUAAAUCCGCCUUGGUGCUUGGGUCAUAUAUCACAGGACUUGAUUUGCUAAGAGCAGUUUAGGGUUUUCCCAUUUGUGCUCAUGAGUGAGAUUUCUGUGUGAUUUCUUUCUUUCCUUUCUUUUCCGGUGAUGUUCUAGUCCAGUUUUGGUAUCCAGGUUAUUCUGCCCUCAUAAAAUGCACUGGAAAGUGUUUCUCCUCUUUCUGUUCUCUGGAAGAGUGUGUUGGAGGUUGGCGUUGUAUCGCCCUUAAAUGUUAGGUAGAAUUCUGCAGUUAUGGCAUCUGUCUAGAGUUUUCUUUUAAGAAAAAUUUAUAUUAUGUACUCAGUUUCUUUAAUAAUUAUGGGACCAUUUUGAGUAUUUCUUUUUGUGUCAGUUCUGAUAAAUUAUCUCUUUCAAGGAAUUUGUCCAUUUCAUCUACAUUUUAAAAUUUAUUGGCAAAAAUUUGUUCAUAAUAUCCUCUUAGGAUUUUUUAAAUGUCUAUCACAUAUGUAGUAACUUUCUCCUCGUCAUUCCUGUUAUUGUUAUUUAUGCCUCCCCUUCCUCGCUCUCACUCUAAUUAUUUUCCCUUUUUAGUCUUGCCAGGGUUUAUCAGUGUUAUUAAUCAUUUCAGAGAAUGAAUAUUUGGCCUUCUUAAUCCUUUAUUUUUUAAUGUUGAUUUUUCAUUUCAUUGGUUUCUGCUUUUAGGUUUAUUGUCUUCUUGUUUCUUUGGGCUUAAUUUACUGUUCCUUUCCUAACUUCUUCAACUGAAGAAUUCCUAACUUCUUGGAAGCUUAGCUUAUUGAUUUUCAGCCUUUCUUUUUCUUUUUUAAUAUAUAUAUUUAAGGCUAUAAAUUUCCCUCUGAGCAUGCUUUUUAGCCACAUUCCACAAAUUUUAAUAUGUAGCAUUCUUAUUCAGUUCAAAACAUUUUCUAGUUUUCAUUGUGAUUUCUUCCAAAUGUUAUCUGGAGAUGUAUUUCCUAAUUUCCGAAUGUAUGGUGAUUAUCUAAUUAUUAUUUUUGUUAAUGAUUUCUAGCUUAAUUGCACUGUGGUCAAAGAACAUGCUCCAUAGGAUUUCAGUUCUUUGAAAUUUUUUGAGACUUCAGGACUCAACAUAAAGUCUUUUGUGUGAUUAUUCAAUAUGUACUUGAAAAGAAUGUGAAUUCUGCUAUUCUUGGUGCUGGUGUUCUGUAUAGGCCCAUUGGGUCAAGUUUCUUAUCGUGUACCUCAGGUCUUCUAUAUAUUUAUUGAUUUUUUAAUCGUGUUCUAUUAGCGACUGAAAAAACAGUAUUAAAGUCUCACAAGGUGAUUAUAGAUUUUUUCAGUUUUAAGUUCUGUCAAUUUUUAUUUUAUCUAUUUUGAGGUUAUGUUAUUAGUUAUAUAUACUUUUAGUAAGUGGUGUUGAGAUCACUAGAUAGCCAAAAGGGAAAAAGAUAAUAUUGGAUCCAUCCUUUGUACCUUUACAUUAGGAUAAAUUCUAAACAGUUCAAAGAUUUAAAUGUAAAACUGAAACCAUACACAUAUUAGGGAAAAACAAAGGUAAGUUACUUACAGCCUGUUAGGAAGGAAAAUUUUUCUAACUAUGACCCUAGAUCCAGAAGCAGUAAGGAAAAGGAUUGAUAAAUUUGGUUACAUUAAAAAAAAAAUUUUUUUUUCAUGGCAAAGUAUGCUUUCCAUAAGCAAAGUAAAAGGACAGUAAGAAACUGCCAAAAAAAAUUGUUAGAUUAUAUUGCAAAGGUACUAGCCCUAGUUUGUAAAGAGCUUCUAAAAAUGGAGAAGACCAACAACCUUAGAAAUUGUUUAAACUGUAUCUCUUAGAGAUGAACCAACAUCUACAGAAAAAGAAAUGCAAAUGGCUUAAUCAUAUGAAAAUAUGCUCACCUUUGCUCCUAUUAAGAGAAAUACAAAUGAAAACUACCCAUUUCUCAACUAUCUGAUUGGUAAAAAAUUCAACAUUUUGGCAGUACACUCUGUUGGCAUUAUUUUUAACACCAAAAGAUUGAAUAUAAUCUGAAUGGCGGAGGGCUGGAGGGAUGAACUGUGGACCCAUCAGCAGAAUAAGGAAAGUCUUUAUAUUACCACAGAAUGAUCUCCAGGAAGUAGUAAGGGGAAAAUCAAGAAUACAGUUGUGUAUAAUGUACUACUGCUUAUCUCAGACAAGCAGGAGUACCAAUAAGUGCACGUAUUUGCUCCACUAAGAAACCAUGGAAGGAUAAACCAUAAAAGUGAAAAAAGGUUCAGCUACAGAGAAAGGGAGGAUGUUUAGGGGAUAGAGAAGCUGGAGUUCUUUGAAUGUCCCUUGUCUUGUAGAUUUGACUUUGGAACCAUGUGGAUAUUUUACAUAAUUAUAAAACAAAAUUAAUCUAUUUUUAAUAAAGUACCCCUAGAAAUCGAAAAUAAAAUGAAAUAAAUGAGCUUAACUGCGUAUUCACCUAGUGGGAUUAGCACACAGACUGAGUAUUCCAAGUAACCUGAGUGUCUCCCCCUUGGAGAGAUGUUCCUUAGCAGCAGCAACACAAACAAAACACCUGUUUUUAGUAAUCAUAUUCUUAUUCUGAGAUUGUGUUUAUAUUGUGGGAUGAGUCAAAUGAGUUAUGUUGAAGUCAUUGAGGCUAGAGAUUUUUUUGACAUGAUUCAAAGGAAAUACGGAUUUAAGAUUGCUGACAAGGUUAAAUGAAAACUUGUGUUCUUGAAUUUGAAUUGCUAGGAUCAAUAUGAACUCAUAAAGUAAAUAUAUAUAUAUAUAUAAAUAUACCUAUAUGUUUUAUCUUUAAAUGUAUAUCUUCAUAUAUGUAACAUAUAUGCAUAUAUGUUUGUUCCUCCCACACACGUGUAUGCACAUAUAUGUGGAUUUCCUAGUAUUCUCUACCAAAAAGAACCAACCCAACCCAGUAGCAGUGAGCACCAACUGUGCCCCGAAUAUUGACCUCUAAGGAUCAUUACCUACUGAAAGUAAUGAGGGCUUUUUGGAAGAAACAGUCGAUUCCAGGUUGAUUCCAAAUCUUAGCUUGGAACAGUUUGUCAUACCAGAAAGCAGGAAAACAAUCAAAGCUUACUAGGGUCAUGUCAAACAGAAUUCCAGAGCCAGUCUAAAUCAGUGCCACUGGUCAAAGAUGGGACAGUUAACACAUCAAUAAAGAUAAUAAUUGCCACGGAUUGAAAAACAUUACCUGUGUUGAAAUCCAUGACUUUAUAAUGGUAAUAUUAAAACCACAAAUCAGCCAAACACAGUAGUCACUUUUGGGAGAUGUCCAGGCGAGAAAAACUCAUUAUUCUGAAAACUGGUAAAUUAAUAUAGAGAAUCAACUUUUUCCUCUUAUGGACUGUAUCUCAGAAUAGUCAAAGAAUUGAUAAAUAGAAGUUUGACUUUAUAGAAGUUUUCCAGACAAUAAUCAACAAGUGGUAUAAUUUAGAGUGUUGCCAUUUUGCACCUCAAAUGAAUUAACGGAUUUAGGCAGCAGUCAUCAAAGAUUUUAUAUUAACGUUACGGAGAAACAGCUAGAUAUUAUGUACAGUAUGAUGGAAGUACAUAACACCACAUGAAGUGGUCUUGCUUAGUGGUGAUGAUGAUGAGAAGAAGAAAAAGAAGAAGAGGACCAGGAUCUGGCCAAGCCUCUAGAUCACCGAUUUAUCGGAAAUACAGAGCACAGAGGAACAAGCAUUUAUAAUACAACUGUGGAAAUGUGAACACUGGCUGAAAGACUCAUAAUACUGAAGAAUUACUGUUCUUUUGUUUUUUGUGUGUGAUAGUGGUAGAGUGGUUAUGUUUUACGUGCUUAUCUUUUGGAGAUACAUACUGAAAUAUUUAAGUAUAAAACAAUAUGAUGUCUGGGAUUUAUUUCAGCAUGAUCUAAGUGUGAGAGGACAGUGACGAUAAAGCGAGAUGGGAUCUAUAAUGACAAUUACUGCAGCUGGGUAACGAGUAUAUCUGAGUUCAUUGUAUUUGUCUCUCUGCUUUUGUAUAUGCUUGACUAUUUCAAAAUAAAAAUUGAAACAAGGUUUUUUUUUAAUUACUAA